rnacentral:rRNA from 1 species
CAGCACCUCAAGUGGUCAGGAUGAUUAUUGGGCCUAAAGCAUCCGUAGCCGGCGCUGUAAGUUUUCGGUUAAAUCUGUGCGCUCAACGUACAGGCUGCCGGGAGUACUGCAGCGCUAGGGAGUGGGAGAGGUAGACGGUACUCGGUAGGAAGGGGUAAAAUCCUUUGAUCUAUUGAUGACCACCUGUGGCGAAGGCGGUCUACCAGAACACGUCCGACGGUGAGGGAUGAAAGCUGGGGGAGCAAACCGGAUUAGAUACCCGUGUAGUCC